UUUUCUCUACAAAGAUCUGUUUAGAACUGAUAUACCCAGUCGAUAAAUAAAACCAGUUUGGUUUAGGUUUCCUAAGGAAUGGCACUUAUAAUCUGCAGAUUGCAUGAGAGAAAUAUAACCAGUGGCGUUACGGAGGAAGAGGGGGCCGGGCACGUAGGCAUAUUUGGUGUGGGGACUGCACUGUUGACAUUAGGGCCAUUUAUACGAGAC